GAUUUCCUUGAUGAUUUAUUUCUAGAAGGCAAUUGUAGGAAGGGUCUUGUGAAGCAUGAUAUUUUUACACAGCCCAGAAGAGGGCAGUGGAAGCUAACAAAUAACAAAUAUCAUGCCUCAGCUGUAAUAAUAACCAACAAAAACUCCUCUUUUUUUCAAGGUACUCAAUGCCCGUUUUCUAAAAUUGCAUUUCAGUAGUAUAGAAAAGAAGAAUUUCUUUAAUGGCUUAGUCUUAAAUCUUUUUAGCCUAGACAGAAACCACUGUCACAAAAAGUAUUUUUUUUUUCCAAAGCCAUCAUUGCCAAACAAGAACAGCUCAAUACCUGCAGCUGGGGCUGUACUCUCCACAGAAUGGGCUAUUUUAAAUCACUGCUGGUGUUGAAACAUAGAGGGGUUUCUUACAGCUGUCCAUCUAGGCUGGAUUCAAGCAACGGUCUUGGAUACUCAGCAAUUUUACCCUCUGUAGUGAGCCUGUUUUUUAUCAAACUUUUAAUUGGGUUGAAGGGAGGAAAAAGAGCCCUUCACGGGAAGCCACCACAGGUAACAUCUACUGUGAUAACCUAUGGACAGUGCUUCAGUAGCCAUGGAGACAGUAGACUGUUGGGUCAGCACAGAUGUCGUGUCAAGGCCUGCUCUAGCAGCUUUAUGCCAGAUUUAUGCCAGACAGCAGUGGCCACUGUCAAAAGAAACGAGUCCCUGUGCUCCUAGCUAGGCAGGAUGGUUCAUCACAGCAAGAUGUUCUCCUCCUUGGCACAUCUGAAUCAUCAAAGUCCAAAAGAGCAGAGGCCAGAGGCAGGAGGGUUUGGAUGAGGUGCGCCAGAGCUCCCUGCAACCUCUGCAACCCAGCAGCAAGUGGAGGAGCUUUCCAGGAUGGGAGCAGCGGUGAGAAUGGCCUUUCUGAGUCCUGCUGGAGCUUGCUGGCCACUUCUGUAAAAUCAGUCUGUGUCCACUUAUUGGAGUGCAACCAGCAAAAAUUUGGCUGGAGCCAAAUCCCAGACAUCCAGACUUGGCAGUUUUUGACUCAUGUAACUUGAGAAACACCGAGAAAAGUAUUUUGCUGUGGCACAGCUCUUAUGGACUGCUCAAUGCAUCAAUGCUGGGCAGCAAGCAGACCUUCAGCAGUAAGUGCAAGUGGCUUUAAUCUCAAAGACUCACCUCCAGCAAUGGAUUUUCUUGACCUCAGCAGAAGUCCUAAAGCAGCCUGAGCUAAUUUUCAGCCUUAGUCUUCAGACUGUCUUUGCAUAGCUGCCUUCCCCUAAGAGAAUAAGCUCUUACACUCUCAUUUUCUGCCUUGUGACAUUAAAGGCCAAGUUUUUCCUUCUCUAGUUCUCUCCCAUAUUACAGCUUGGUGGAUAGAUCCAGCCUGCAUUAGUAGGUCUAGGAGGUUAUUCUGUCUUUGCUCUACCACUUAGCCUGACAAAAGCAUUAGUUUUUACAUGCAUCUGUCUAUGCAGUUUGUUUUCUUUUACACUGCAUGCUCAUCUGUAGGGAGCAUCCUUGUCAUGCAGCACAGUCGAGAGGCUUCUUUAAUUUUGUAAUUUAUUUAAUGUGCUUAAAAAGCAACCCAAAAAUAAUGUAAUUAGAUUCUUGGGAUGAAAGGAAUAGGGAGAGGCAAGUCCUGAAAGUAGAGAGGAAGAAAUUCAUUUGUAUCAUCUUUAUGGUUUUUCUUUAACUGUUCCAAGGUUUGCAUUCACUCUGUCUGCGUUAACUCGAGUUGAGAUGGCCUGUGAAUGAAACCUCAGCCACAAGCUUCAUGAGAGGAGGCUGCAUGUGUUCUUUCAUAACACUUGUACUUUCGCUGUUGUACCAGCACACAGUUUAGAGCAGAGGACUCAUGGGGUGCUUUCUGGCAUUUUUUUUCUUAACACUGAGGAAAACAAUUCCCUGGAUUUGCAGAGCUAAGCCUCAUGAUUAAAUUGCUGGGGCUGAGGAGUUCCUACUGAAAAACUUGCAUGGCCUUUGAGAAGUCCUGCUCCACAAAAAAUACAUGCCAAGCAACUUCAAUUACAACACUUUUGGUUUUCAGAGACUUGACUGAAGGUUCCUAGAUAGAAGUUUGACCCUACUAAUGUUUGCAAAUGUGCCUUAAUUUAGUUGCUAGUGAAUUCUCCCUCUCACAUACAGCAACAGAUGCAAGAGAAGAGAUGGGGUUCUUCCUGAGACUUUUUGGUUCUGCAUAGUCAUUUGGAAAUCAAUUUAAUGCAUUUUAAUUGCCUAUUUUUCUCCUUGGAUUUCUCUUUACAGCUACACACCAGAAAAAAAAAUAAUAAGCUAGAGUCUAGCCAGGCAGGCUGCUAAUGAGGAAGCUUGACUCAAGAAGAUUUUAAUUUUCCGCAUUUGUUCUUCAGGAUAGCUCCUUCAGCAUACAAGGCUGUCACAAAACAGGAAUGUUGCCACCAGCUAAUGGAACAAAAGCAUUAGGCUUAUAUGUCAUUUUGCUACACUGAGAACUAAACGCUUACAUCCUUGACCAAACUAUAGGAGUCUGGCAAUCCAUUUCAGAAUGCUGGUCCCCUCAGCCAAAUCAACCCCAUGACAGAAACACCCAUUGUGCAUGAAUAUGGUGUGAAAAGAAUGAGAAAGAGAAAAUUUAGGACAGGAAGAAGGAAAGGGAUAUGCUAAGAGCUCAGUCUAUUGCCAGCCUUUCACAAUCCCCAUGGUAAAGAGAAGCUUCUGACUCUGCCAAGCUAAUCAGAGGGCUUCCCAGAAACUCCCUCAUCCAUGGGGCAUUUUUGUUGAGAAGCAGGAUUUAGAUGAGGUCCAUGCCGUCCCUGAACUGCCAGAGCAGGCAGAGUUGCACAAAGUUAGACUGGGAGUCAGGAUCAAAGCUAGCCAACGCUGAGGUUCCUCUGCCUCUGUGGCUGGUGCAGUUCGGCCAUGACCUAGGUACCGCAGAGUUCUGUACCUGAAAACUUGCCAUUGCUGUGAAAUCAGGAUGCUGGAGACAUCUGCGUUUAGCAUCUCUAUCGCAACCCUUCAUUUCCAAUAGCAGACACUGUCCUACAAUUUCAUCUUUCAGUAGCCGAAAAGCUCCAAGUUUCAUCCCUGUUUGAGGCUGUUGUCUUUGGAAAGGCUGAGCAGCUCACUGCUGAAAACAGGAGGGGAAGAAAGCACACUGCUUUCCACCACUGGGCUGUAGCUCGUCAUUACCUCCUUUACUUGAAAUGUGAAGGAUGCUUCUCAAUAGUGCAUAGCCCCAGGUGAGUGAAUAAAACCUUGGUACCUCAUUACA
rnacentral:lncRNA from 1 species